AUACGUAGGGUGCGAGCGUUGUCCGGAAUUACUGGGCGUAAAGAGCUCGUAGGUGGUUUGUCGCGUCGUCUGUGAAAUUCCGGGGCUUAACUCCGGGCGUGCUGGCGAUACGGGCAUAACUUGAGUACUGUAGGGGAGACUGGAAUUCCUGGUGUAGCGGUGAAAUGCGCAGAUAUCAGGAGGAACACCGGUGGCGAAGGCGGGUCUCUGGGCAGUAACUGACGCUGAGGAGCGAAAGCAUGGGUAGCGAACAGGAUUAGAUACCCUGGUAGUCCACGCCGUAAACGGUGGGCGCUAGGUGUAGGGGUCUUCCACGACUUCUGUGCCGUAGCUAACGCAUUAAGCGCCCCGCCUGGGGAGUACGGCCGCAAGGCUAAAACUCAAAUGAAUUGACGGGG
rnacentral:rRNA from 1 species